rnacentral:rRNA from 1 species
UUGGCGGACGGGUGAGAAAUGCAUCGGAACGUACCCAGUCGUGGGGGAUAGCCCGGGGAAACCCGGAUUAAUACCGCAUACGCCCUGAGGGGGAAAGUGGGGGACCGCAAGGCCUCACGCGAUUGGAGCGGCUGAUGUCGGAUUAGCUAGUUGGUGGGGUAAAGGCCUACCAAGGCGACGAUCCGUAGCUGGUCUGAGAGGAUGAUCAGCCACACUGGGACUGAGACACGGCCCAGACUCCUACGGGAUGCAGCAGUGGGGAAUCUUAGACAAUGGGGGCAACCCUGAUCUAGCCAUGCCGCGUGAGUGAUGAAGGCCCUAGGGUUGUAAAGCCCUUUUGUUGGGAAAGAAAUCCAGCUGGCUAAUACCCGGUUGGGAUGACGGUACCCAAAGAAUAAGCACCGGCUAACUUCGUGCCAGCAGCCGCGGUAAU